rnacentral:rRNA from 1 species
UUCUUGGUCAUUUUAGAGGAAGUAAAAGUCGUAACAAGGUGCCGUUCGGAAGCCUUGCACGCCGAGUCUGCCUUCGGGCGGGCGACAUUCGCCUGUAGCUGGAAGGUUCCCCCCGGGUCCACGGGGGCAACGAUCAGCUGCUGCACGCCUGAACCGUGCAGUUCACAGAUCAAACGCGAGUGGCCCGCGCCCGCGGGUUGAGAUAUGACCGUAGCAGCUCUGCGAAGAGCCUGACACCCUAGUUCCGUAGGUGAACCUGCGGAAGGAUCAUUA